rnacentral:rRNA from 1 species
GAUGAACGCUGGCGGCGUGCCUAAUACAUGCAAGUCGAGCGAACAGAUGAGGAGCUUGCUCCUCUGACGUUAGCGGCGGACGGGUGAGUAACACGUGGAUAACCUACCUAUAAGACUGGGAUAACUUCGGGAAACCGGAGCUAAUACCGGAUAAUAUAUUGAACCGCAUGGUUCAAUAGUGAAAGACGGUUUUGCUGUCACUUAUAGAUGGAUCCGCGCCGCAUUAGCUAGUUGGUAAGGUAACGGCUUACCAAGGCAACGAUGCGUAGCCGACCUGAGAGGGUGAUCGGCCACACUGGAACUGAGACACGGUCCAGACUCCUACGGGAGGCAGCAGUAGGGAAUCUUCCGCAAUGGGCGAAAGCUUGACGGAGCAACGCCGCGUGAGUGAUGAAGGUCUUCGGAUCGUAAAACUCUGUUAUUGGGGAAGAACAAAUGUGUAAGUAACUAUGCACGUCUUGACGGUACCUAAUCAGAGAGCCACGGCUAACUACGUG